rnacentral:lncRNA from 1 species
GUUAAAAGCACCAACCACUUGGUGUUUGCAAGUUUUUCACCGUUAGGUCUAUUCUUUUAAUUAAUUCCACUCCUUACAUUAUGGUAUUUCACCAACCACUCACUCAAUCAUAAAAAAUUACUAUUAUUUUUACCAUACAAAUCUUUAUCCAAAGGCCAAAAACUUAUCAGCACCAAUGACAUGUGCUUUUAAAACCAUGGGAGCUCAAUUCCAUUAAUAAAU